GAUGAACGCUGGCGGCGUGCCUAAUACAUGCAAGUCGAGCGAACAGACGAGGAGCUUGCUCCUCUGACGUUAGCGGCGGACGGGUGAGUAACACGUGGAUAACCUACCUAUAAGACUGGGAUAACUUCGGGAAACCGGAGCUAAUACCGGAUAAUAUAUUGAACCGCAUGGUUCAAUAGUGAAAGACGGUUUUGCUGUCACUUAUAGAUGGAUCCGCGCCGCAUUAGCUAGUUGGUAAGGUAACGGCUUACCAAGGCAACGAUGCGUAGCCGACCUGAGAGGGUGAUCGGCCACACCGGAACUGAGACACGGUCCAGACUCCUACGGGAGGCAGCAGUAGGGAAUCUUCCGCAAUGGGCGAAAGCCUGACGGAGCAACGCCGCGUGAAUGAUGAAGGUCUUCGGAUCGUAAAACUCUGUUAUUAGGGAAGAACAAAUGUGUAAGUAACUAUGCACGUCUUGACGGUACCUAAUCAGAAAGCCACGGCUAACUACGUG
rnacentral:rRNA from 1 species